rnacentral:lncRNA from 1 species
ACCCCGUUAGUGUCGACCCCAAGGGUAAGGUGAAGCCUCUGCCCGGGUGUGCCACGUUCCCAGACCUCGGUGGGAACAUCUGCGGUUCGUUCCUGAACAUCCAAGAAAACCUCACGAUAUGAGCAUAAGCUUGUAGGUUGGGAAAGUCACUAGAGGUGCCGUUGAUGUGAUUCCUUGUCAGGACAAAAGAAAAUUCCAUGUUUCUUUUUGGAUUGAUCGAAGAGAUCACCUAGCUUUCUGUACAAAGGUCAUUAACAGAGAUUAAUACUUUAAUACUUCGUAACCAACAGCAAUCCAAAUGGUUCGUCAGUUCAGUUCCAUAAACUGUAACAUUAACAGAUAAGUGAAUUUGGCUCUGUACUUUUCUCUGAAACUUAGCUUUAUGACUCAAAACUUAGUUCCUGACAGAGGAAUUGUAGCUAACCAUUGGAGUGCGCUACUACUUACAAUUGUCUGAGAUAUAGAUAAUAGAGCAUUUCAGAAUUACCUAAGUGCAUUUCGAUGUUAUUAGUAAGUAGCAUGAAAAUUUGGCACUUCCUAUAAAAUUCAAACAUCACCAAGCCUAGCAUACCAAAAAGAGAAAACUAAACAAACGGAUUGGCAAUAGUUUGCAGUCCAAAUUCUACUACUGCGAUGCACCGAAGUCAUGCACAACAGAGGCCCAGAAUGAAGACUGCAAUGCUAUUGGCAUUUUUUUUUUGAAAAAAACUUCAGUUGGAUAGCGAGAUGCUAACCUCCGUUGUUGGUUCUCACCAAAGCAGUCGAGCACUCAUCGUCAUCCUCAAGCUCCCCGCAUCACCCACGGCCGCAUCGUAACGCCAUUGCGGCCCCCGGGGUCGAGUCUCUCUUGUCUCCGGUAGCCCGCAAUUGGCCACCUCCGCCCGCGCUCACUGGGUGUAGCGCCGAUUUCGCUACUACGGGGAAGAACCGCCGGUCUCCCUCUGCUUCAGUCAUCCGCCUCGGGGAAACGCCGCGCAAACAACACUGACCACCGCUUCUAACCAGGGGGUAUGCACUAGUAAACUUGAGAUUGGAGAACAAAGCCGCCGCGUCGGCGCAGAGAGUGAGGACCGGGGAAGGAUCGGGAGCUCAUCGGCAAUGACGUGGCGGCAGUCGCCGUCGCCGGGGGAAAGCGCCGUGAGAUCGGGAGGGCGAGAGCGAGGCGAACAGCAAACGAGGG